AGCAGCCGCGGUAAUUCCAGCUCCAAUAGCGUAUAUUAAAGUUGUUGUGGUUAAAAAGCUCGUAGUUGAACCUUGGGCCUGGCUGGCCGGUCCGCCUCACCGCGUGUACUGGUCCGGCCGGGCCUUUCCCUCUGUGGAACCCUAUGCCCUUCACUGGGUGUAGCGGGGAAACAGGACUUUUACUUUGAAAAAAUUAGAGUGCUCCAGGCAGGCCUUUGCUCGAAUACAUUAGCAUGGAAUAAUAAAAUAGGACGUGUGGUUCUAUUUUGUUGGUUUCUAGGACCGCCGUAAUGAUUAAUAGGGACAGUCGGGGGCAUCAGUAUCCAAUUGUCAGAGGUGAAAUUCUUGGAUUUAUUGAAGACUAACUACUGCGAAAGCAUUUGCCAAGGAUGUUUUCAUUAAUCAGGAACGAAAGUUAGGGGAUCGAAGACGAUCAGAUACCGUCGUAGUCUUAACCNUAAACUAUGCCGACUAGGGAUCGGACGAUGUUAAAAAUNAANGCG
rnacentral:rRNA from 1 species